rnacentral:lncRNA from 1 species
GCCAUGCUUCCUCUAACUUCUAAAGCUGUGAUCCUUAAAAAAGAAAUGGCAGCAAAAAUCCAUCAUUUGAAUAUGGGGAUGACUAUUGAUGUCUGAGAUCCAGGGAGGCAGCGGCCUUUUGUGCUUCAGCCUCGAUGGAGUCUCUGGGCAAAUGACAAUAGCUAGCUAGCAUUGCUGAAUCACUUCACAUCCACUGGCUACUUGGUAAAGGCAUUUUACGCAUACCAUAUUAAUUCAUUUAGUGCUCUCAGUUCCAUAAAAGGGGUAAUGUUAACUUCAUUUUCUGCACCACAAGACACAGAGAUUAAGAAACUUACAUGGGACCACUCAGGACGAGCUUUCUAAGCCAGGUUGCAUUCCCCCAACCCCCAGAAGACUCCUUGCCUCUCUUUCCACAGGGUUUUACAACAUCAUUUGAGAUAUAUAAAUGAAGAUAUUUCUUCCGGGUAUCAAGCCCAUCUGUGGAUAUUAUUUAAUGAAAUGGGAAGGAAGGAUACAAACCAAAUGGUACCAGGGACAGUCAGGCAAGUUCCAGAUCUCAGCAACGCAACCCAAACAAGAGAGGCAGGAAGAGAUGAGAUACCGGCAACCAACACCUGGACAGAGCUCGCUCCAAGGAAGACCGAAGCCUUGUUUUGUUCGAAGGCUUGCUUUCACAUAGUUUGCUCUCCAACUAGAUUAAAACC